UUUUUAUAGAGAGUUUGAUCCUGGCUCAGGAUGAACGCUGGCGGCGUGCUUAAUACAUGCAAGUCGAACGAAGACAUCUCGCCGAAGCUUGCUUCAUUGAGAUAUCUUAGUGGCGGACGGGUGAGUAACGCGUGGGUAACCUGCCUUACACAGGGGGAUAACAGUUAGAAAUGACUGCUAAUACCGCAUAAGCGCACAUUAUCGCAUGAUAGAGUGUGAAAAGAUUUAUCGGUGUAAGAUGGACCCGCGUCUGAUUAGCUAGUUGGUGAGGUAACGGCCCACCAAGGCGACGAUCAGUAGCCGGCCUGAGAGGGUGAACGGCCACAUUGGGACUGAGACACGGCCCAAACUCCUACGGGAGGCAGCAGUAGGGAAUAUUGGACAAUGGGGGAAACCCUGAUCCAGCGACG
rnacentral:rRNA from 1 species